UUGUUGGGUAUCACUGUCAGAUAGUCUAUCAGCGACAAAGCCACUGAUAGAACCUAGUGGGGAAACCCCCACUCAAUUCCCGAUUCGGUGUGCACCCAAAAAAUCACGAAGGACC
rnacentral:pre_miRNA from 7 species